rnacentral:ncRNA from 1 species
UAGGUAGAGGUGCAGACCUUAUCAGUAACCGUUCUCAGCAUUCGAAGCAUUCGAGGACAGUAAAAGGAAGGCUUGCCGAAGGGAUUGAAAAAACUUCGAUAUUUCAACCCCUGGGCUGCAAAAGAAUAUUUUGCAGACUGUCACUGAACGUGGAGCGCUACCGUG